CCACUAGCAAAAGGGUAUCAACACUAGAUGAAGUUUUCAUAUAAAAGAGACUUUGAUACAUGACAAACGGCUUCCUGAGUAAAGAUUUUACAAGGAUUCACUGACACAAUUUCUGUGACUAUUCUCUAAUGAUUCUUUUUGUUGUUUUUUGUUUUCAUUUUAUUUUGAGGUGCUCCACUUCUUACCCUUAAAAUGGGUGUUCCCUGUGGGUUAUUUCCUAGGACCCCUGGAAUCCUUUCUCACUUUCUGCUAUGUGAUCUCAGGAAUUGUCAAGGUCCUGAUGACAUCUGCAGACCAGACAUUCAUCACUCUUCCUGGUGCAGGAAGCAACUGCCUUCUGGACAUAGAUAUCUGCACGUGCCUCCUGCUCACCGUCGCAACUCAGCACUGCCUCUCACCACCUCCUCAACGGAACUUGUGACCUACUUAAUUCCCCAACCAAACUGUUGUCUCUCAGUGUUUCCCAACCUUAGACAUGAGCAGUAUUCAGAAGUGAAUCACUCAAGCCAGAGGCUUAAGGGUAUCCCUAGAUUCCUCCUCCAGAUCAACUUUUGACUCUAAAAGCAGAGAGCCAGGAAAGGCACCUAAGGUCCCUACCCUAUGCAGGCUCCCAAGAGAACAAGAACCAUGUUCUCAAAAAUAUUCAAGACAAUGUUUUGUAGCCUUUUAUCUGGAAUCACUAUGUAAAGAAAAUUGUGAACAAAAAUCUUUGUAUCCAGUUCACAUAAUCUGUUGAUAUUGGCCAAGGUUUAUAAAAGAUUGAAACUAUGGUCUAAGAAAAAAAGUAGUAAGAAAUAUGACAUCAUGAAUAUCCAUCAGAGAAAAAAUAUUGAAAUUCAUAAUGAACAGCGUAGCAUGCCUUCCACAUGGCCCACCUGCCUUAUUAAUAAUCUGAUCAAAUCUGUAAACUGCAAACCAAUCACCUCCUCAAGUAUGCAUCCCAUUUCCCCAAAGUCAUCCUGAAGCAGAACCUACCUGGGACAUGUCCCCCUAUCUAUUCAUACCAAAUUAAACGAUCUGCUCAUCCAUUUUUUAAAAUAUCUUUUUUAAAUUACUAUGCUCCAAGUUCUGGGAUACAUUGCAGAACUUGUGGGUUUGUUACAUAGGUAUACACAGGCCAUGAUGCUGCUCAUCCAUUUUCAUUCCUAAUACCUAUUCACCAGAAGAUAAAUCCCUCCCCCCACCCACACACACAAAUGAAAAAGCAGAACAGCGUGAAGGAAGUUUGCCUUCAUCCAGGCUGCGUGCUGGAAACAUGCAGUUGCAUAUACAAAACCUGCGGCCUUCGGCUUCCAAAUCAGUAGAAUAGCAAUGCAUACAUCUGCAGCUUCCUCUAUCUGAGAACUUUGUUGUGAUUUAAUUACGAAUUAAUUCAAUGAAUCCUAAACUAUGGAAAUGAUUUAAUGAAGUUCAA
rnacentral:lncRNA from 13 species